rnacentral:rRNA from 1 species
CAGCAGCCACGGUAACACGGAGGGAGCUAGCGUUGUCCGGAAUCACUGGGCGUAAAGCGCACGUAGGCGGCUAUUCAAGUCAGGGGUGAAAGCCCGGGGCUCAACCCCGGAACUGCCUUUGAAACUAGAUAGCUUGAAUCUUGGAGAGGCGAGUGGAAUUCCGAGUGUAGAGGUGAAAUUCGUAGAUAUUCGGAAGAACACCAGUGGCGAAGGCGACUCGCUGGACAAGUAUUGACGCUGAGGUGCGAAAGCGUGGGGAGCAAACAGGAUUAGAUACCCCCGUAGUCCCUGUCUCUUAUAC